AACGCUUCUCUGAAAAAAACGAUUCUGCCGAGUGUUCCGCCAAAAUGCCCUACCCGUGAGAAACGUCCUACCGGUGGCUAAUUUGACAGCUGAAGUACAAUAUUCUGUGCUUUCAGUUGGCUUUAUUAAGAUGAAUACAGGUAGAACCUUCUAAAGAUCCCUUGAGAAAAUACUACAAGCAGGACAGGUUGGCCAUCUUCUGUUGAUAAAGACAAAUACAAACUGCCGUCUGUCCGGGAAAGCACCUGUGAUUGUUUGUGGAACUGCAGCGAACCUAUAUUGAGGACAGGAUGUUUGUGCAGGGUGACGAUGAGGCUGCAUACAGAUAGGAGGGAGGUCUCCAAACAUGGCAACCAUCACCUGCAGGAGGCUCACCAGGUCACACUUCCCCUGAGAGAGUGCCACAAAAAAGUCAGCUUAUCGUACUGCAAACCUCUCACGUGUGCUGCUCACCUGCUUCCACUCCUGCAAGUACGGCAACAAGACAUCACCAUUGCUGGAGACGUAGUUUCCCCGCAGGAUCAUCAUCUCCCUCGUGGGCCUGACGUAGCAGAUGGGGGCUGACUUAGGGUAGGACUCCUCGAGCCACACACAUAUGGGGAUGUUAUAACUUGUGUCUGACAGAAUGCCAGGAACAGUUAGAAUAUGUAUCAAUGAUCGUAUAAUGCUUUAUUGCACCCGAUAUAAAAUGUGAAGUUAUUACCUUCAAAAAGGAUGGGGAUAGUUCCUGUUAGACUCAUCAAGACCUUGGUGGUUCCAUCACUGUAAACUAUAAAGAAGGAACAUGAGUGUUUUAAAGCCCACGAUUAUUUAAAGGAAAAUAAAUCUUUUUUUGCACGUAAGCUCCUUACUGUAUUUAUCCACCACUGGAACAAGGCCUUUGAAAUGGAUCAAUGCAACAUGUAUUUCAUCAGCCACAUGUUUACAAAAAUAGGUCUGUGCAACAGAAACAAGCAUACACUCAAAAGAGAAUAAUAGGAAUAGGAAUAUUUUUCUCACCAUACACAUACAAUAUGAUGUUCCCUUACCUUUGGCAGCAUUUUCUUUAUGGUGUUUUUGCAGGUUGUCAUGAUUGUGUGUGUAUCUAAAAACAAAAAAUAUGUCUUGCCUUGUCUGUAGCUCACCAACACUCACAGAGCUUGGAUUUUUCUUUCCGUGUGUUUAAGGGCAAGAACACAACUUUAUGGACCCCCUCAGAGCCAAUAAGAGAACAGCAUACUGAUAGUACAAACACGUGACUUAUCGUAACCAUAAUAUAAUAAUUAGGUUAUAUGGCCCAAAAAAACACUGUUCUCUGUUCCGUGACCCAUUAAAUGAACGUGUUUGUUACAUAGAAGGUAAUAUCUUUCAAUAAAUAAAGAGUAUGUUUUACUACGGUUGUCUGCUAUCGUACGUGAGUUUUAAGUCUUGAUCAAAGUAAUUCUUGUGUUUUUAACCAACUUACUAACAACUGUAGGUAAAGUCCCAAUUUUACACAAACUUAAAAUGACAAAAAAGUUGAACUGUGGAUAUUACAUAUAAGUUGUUAAGUUGUUGAAGAAAAAACAAUAAUUCAUCUGUAAUUUGCUAUUGUGUUUAAUUGUUUGUUGUUCUUUAAUUUGCUAUUGUUUUUAGUUAUUUACAGUUGUGUUUAGUUAAAUGUUGUGUUUAUUAAAUGGUUGUUGUGUUUA